rfam:Heterocephalus glaber contig142519, whole genome shotgun sequence.
GGGUGUGAGGGCAAUCUGGCUGCAACAUUUGUUAACCAUUGGUCGCCAGGCUUGAUUGACCGACCUGGCUUCUAGGUGGUGUCCCCUUCCUCCCUCACCACUCCAUGUGCGUCCUCACGAAGCCAAAGCUGCAGCUUCGUGCUCAGUUGAAGAGGACGACCGCCCCCAUAGAGGAGAACCGUUUCCUGGGUCUAGGGUAGGGAGUGGCUGUGCUCCCCUGCUAGACCAUCCACGUGAGCUCUCAAGGUGACCUGGAAAGUGGUAACCAAUUUAUGUUUGAAUUUCAAGUUGAUGUAUAAUGUCUUCUUUUUAGU